AGCAAAGACGCCCGCUUCCCGGAACCGAGGACGGGGACAGAAGAACAACGCCCUCCCCAUAACCCUCCCCUUCCCGAUUCUGCAUUGUGGGGCCUCAGGCUGCACGAUCGUCAUAACCUUGAGAGAGCAGCCUGGCGGGCGGGGUUGCUGAGCCUGUGAUCAGUGCCAGGGAAGAAAGGUGUUUUGUCACCCCGAAAGAUGACGAUAUAAAAGGGAUUCAGCCUACAUUUUCCCUUAGAUUUUGGAUUCAGUUUGGGCUGGUGGACACUGGAACUGACGUAACGGUGAUUCGUGAUCCGGAGUGGCCGGACCGUUGUGGGUUCCGGCCCGGUGUGUGCGACAAGCACUGAAACAGCAUGGCGUGGCACCAGGGGCUGUCGAACCCCAUACCGGAGUUUCAGCUGACCUUGGAGGAGAACACGGUGCCUCCCGGGUCGACAAUGGCGGUACGGAGACGAAGGAGGCGUAGCGUCCCAAGCCAGCCCGUGACAUGGGGAGCAGUAAAAGCAUUGGUCGCCGCAGCUCAAUGAAGACUGGCAGCAAACCAACAGCCAGAGACUCCUGAGACUCUGUUUGUGGCAAUUCUCGCCCAAAUUACUGCUAAUUCUGUAUUGAUUGUAUGCCUUUUGUGCCUGCUGUUUCCUGUAGGGGUUGGCUCAGGAGCGCUUCCUCCGUUACGGGCCCAAAUGACAUAUAACCUAUGGGAAAGAUUGGCUUCAAUAGUAAAUGUUACCCACUUUUGUUUAUUUGAUUUGUAGCAGCUGAAGAAUUGUUAGGUACGUGCCUUAUUCCAGUAUGUUGUCACCCUGAGGAAAUUGGGAAUGAGAUGAUGCUCGCUGCUUACGCGAACCUCUCUUCCCAGUACUCUAGCAUGGCUAAUUGGGGCCCGGCCAAUUACACUUUACCUUCUUAAGCUUAUUUUUUGCUGUUGCCGUGUGCAAUGUAUUUCCUUUUUGUUAAGGCUUUGUCGAGACCCGCCCUGGCAGGCUCGACGAGUUAUGACCUUGUCUGUCGGGGAGUUAAUUGGCUUGCAGAAGCAAAUUGAUGGCUACCAUGAGAUGGCCGAGCACAAAUAAACAAAAAAGGAGGGGAUGUAGGAUUCAUACAAGGUUCAUGCGCUUGGCAACAUUCAGGGCACACCCAGAGUGUUGUGUAGGAGCUGUGCACACACAGCUCCUCUCAAGGGCAUGAACCUUGGAAUCUCGCCCAGAUGACAUGAACCGUGGGAAGCCUCCCAGGACUGGGCUCAAGGCCCGAGAGCAAGGAAUGUGGUAGAUAGAAAUUGAUAAAUAAGAAUGUUAAACAAAGCCAGUGUAUUCCUUUUAUCGGUUGGAGAAUGUAAUGCGCGCGGGGAGAGAAAGAAUAAAGGAGAGGGUGGAAAGCUGACAGGCCCAGUCCGUUGGCAGACCAGCCU